rnacentral:misc_RNA from 1 species
UCACCCAGGGGAGCCACCUUAAAUG